rnacentral:lncRNA from 1 species
AGCAGGGAGAGGGGUUGCAGGCAGGAGUGUGGACAAGGGUAAAUUUCACGGAGACUUCCAGCGGCCCCGCCUCUUUCGUGUAGGGAAACCUUUCCUCCUCUUGUGUGGGGACACCUCAAACUCACUCCUGCAUGAGUUCCUCAUCCAACCCUGCCUCAGAAGAUGGCAGCUCCAUCUUCCAGUUGCUGGGGCUGAAAUAAAACUCUGUAAUCCCUCAUUCUUUUCCCAUCCUGGAGUUGGACCAAAGAUUCAUUCAGGUUAUGUAAGCUCUACCAGCUAAGGAGUCAUUGUGCUGCCUGUCGUUUUCCCAGCCCAGGGAUGGGACUCCAGGCCUUAUACAUAGGCAGGUUCUCCACUGAGCCAUGCCCUCAGCCCCUCUCUGGGGGAUUCUAGGCAGGGGCUCUACCACUGAUCCAUGCCCCCAGC